rnacentral:rRNA from 1 species
CCUACGGGUGGCAGCAGUGGGGAAUAUUGCACAAUGGGGGAAACCCUGAUGCAGCGACGCCGCGUGAGUGAAGAAGUAUUUCGGUACGUAAAGCUCUAUCAGCAGGGAAGAAAAUGACGGUACCUGACUAAGAAGCACCGGCUAACUACGUGCCAGCAGCCGCGGUAAUACGUAGGGGGCAAGCGUUAUCCGGAUUUACUGGGUGUAAAGGGAGCGUAGACGGCAGCGCAAGUCUGGAGUGAAAGCCCAUGGCUUAACCAUGGAACUGCUUUGGAAACUGUGCAGCUAGAGUGCAGGAGAGGUAAGCGGAAUUCCUAGUGUAGCGGUGAAAUGCGUAGAUAUUAGGAGGAACACCAGUGGCGAAGGCGGCUUACUGGACUGUAACUGACGUUGAGGCUCGAAAGCGUGGGGAGCAAACAGGAUUAGAUACCCGGGUAGUC